AACGAACGCUGGCGGCAUGCCUAACACAUGCAAGUCGAACGAUCCCUUCGGGGAUAGUGGCGCACGGGUGCGUAACGCGUGGGAAUCUGCCCUUGGCUUCGGAAUAACAGUUAGAAAUGACUGCUAAUACCGGAUGAUGUCUUCGGACCAAAGAUUUAUCGGCCAGGGAUGAGCCCGCGUAGGAUUAGGUAGUUGGUGAGGUAAAGGCUCACCAAGCCGACGAUCCUUAGCUGGUCUGAGAGGAUGAUCAGCCACACUGGGACUGAGACACGGCCCAGACUCCUACGGGAGGCAGCAGUGGGGAAUAUUGGACAAUGAGCGCAAGCCUGAUCCAGCAAUGCCGCGUGAGUGAUGAAGGCCUUCGGGUCGUAAAGCUCUUUUACCCGGGAUGAUAAUGACAGUACCGGGAGAAUAAGCUCCGGCUAACUCCGUGCCAGCCGCCGCAGUAA
rnacentral:rRNA from 1 species